rnacentral:rRNA from 1 species
AGCAGCCGCGGUAAUUCCAGCUCCAAUAGCGUAUAUUAAAGUUGUUGCAGUUAAAAGCUCGUAGUUGAAUUUCGGGAUUGGCGUAUCGGUCGUGCCUUAAUUGGCAUGCACUGGUAGUUGUUAAUCUCCACCUUCUAGCGAACUGCUAUGCCUUUUACUAGGUGUAGUAGGGAGCUAGGACUGUUACUUUGAAAAAUUAGAGUGUUUAAAGCAGGCUUUAUGCUUGAAUACAUUAGCAUGGAAUAAUGAAAUAGGACGGUAUGAUUCUAUUUUGUUGGUUUCUAGGAUCACCGUAAUGAUUAAUAGGGAUA